GACGAACGCUGGCGGCGUGCCUAAUACAUGCAAGUAGGACGCAGUUGCGAACGGGUGAGUAACGCGUAGGUAACUACCUAUUAGAGGGGGAUAACUAUUGGAAACGAUAGCUAAUACCGCAUACUAGUAGAUGGACCUGCGUUGUAUUAGCUAGUAGGUAGGGUAAUGGCCUACCUAGGCAACGAUACAUAGCCGACCUGCGAGGCGGGUCGGCCACGAGGAGACUGAGGCACGGCCCAGACUCCUACGGUAGGCAGCAGUAUGCACUCUUAGGCAAUGGGGGGAACCCUUACCGCGCAACGCCGCGUGAGUGAAGAAGGUUUUCGGAUCGUAAAGCUCUGUUGUUAAGGAAGCGGUACUUAACCAGAAAGGGACGGCUAACUACGUGCCAGCCGCCGCGGUAAUUC
rnacentral:rRNA from 1 species